rnacentral:rRNA from 1 species
GCAAACGUUGUUCGGAAUUACUGGGCGUAAAGCGCGUGUAGGCGGUUGGGUAAGUCGGAUGUGAAAGCCCCGGGCUCAACCCGGGAAGUGCAUUCGAUACUACUUGGCUAGAGUACUGGAGAGGAUGGUGGAACUCUCGGUGUAGAGGUGAAAUUCGUAGAUAUCGAGAAGAACACCGGCGGCGAAGGCGGCCAUCUGGACAGAUACUGACGCUGAGGUGCGAAAGCGUGGGGAGCAAACAGG